rnacentral:misc_RNA from 1 species
CACGAGUCUUCUACGACGACU